rnacentral:rRNA from 1 species
CCUANGGAGGCAGCAGUGAGGAAUUUUGCGCAAUGGGGGAAACCCUGACGCAGCAACGCCGCGUGAGUGAUGAAGGCCUUCGGGUUGUAAAGCUCUGUCGAGUGGGAAGAAGGUAAUGAUCAUGAAUAGUGGUUGUUAUUGACGGUACCAUAGAAGGAAGCACCGGCUAACUCCGUGCCAGCAGCCGCGGUAAUACGGAGGGUGCAAGCGUUAUUCGGAAUUAUUGGGCGUAAAGGGCGCGUAGGCGGUUUACAAAGUCAGCUGUGAAAUCCCUGGGCUUAACCCAGGAAUUGCGUUUGAUACUGGUAGGCUUGAGUAUGGGAGAGGAGAGUGGAAUUCCUGGUGUAGAGGUGAAAUUCGUAGAUAUCAGGAGGAACACCGGUGGCGAAGGCGGCUCUCUGGACCAAUACUGACGCUGAGGCGCGAAGGCGUGGGGAGCAAACAGGAUUAGAUACCCUUNUANUC